UAGGGAAUCUUCGGCAAUGGACGAAAGUCUGACCGAGCAACGCCUCGUGAGUGAAGAAUGUUUUCGGAUCGUAAAACUCUGUUGUUAGAGAAGAACAAUGACGUUAGUAACUGAACGUCCCCUGACGGUAUCUAACCAGAAAGCCACGGCUAACUACGUGCCAGCAGCCGCGGUAAUACGUAGGUGGCAAGCGUUGUCCGGAUUUAUUGGGCGUAAAGCGAGCGCAGGCGGUUUCUUAAGUCUGAUGUGAAAGACCCCGGCUCAAACGGGGAGGGUCAAUGGAAACUGGGAGACAUGAGUGCAGAAGAGGAGAGUGGAAUUCCAUGUGUAGCGGAGAAAUGCGUAGAUAUAUGGAGGAACACCAGUGGCGAAGGCGGCUCGCUGGUAUGUAACUGACGCUGAGGCUCGAAAGCGUGGGGAGCAAACAGG
rnacentral:rRNA from 1 species